CCCCUCCUUAUGGGAGCUCAGCUCCCAUUGGCUCCCACAUAACUCGAACCCUGGCGGCGGCUGACAGAUGUGAGUGUGUCUCGCGGCGCUCAGGCUUCAUUUAGUAAUACACUUUGAGUUAUCUGUCCGCGUGUCCCUGACAUGAACCCCACGUGAAAGCUUGAGACUGAGCGCGAGACCUUCAGAUGCUUGUUGCUGUAGUGAACGCGUGAAGUCACAUGUCUCCCGUCUCCUUCUGGGAACUAAAGUCUCUAUUAAGAAAUUAUAAAAAAUACACAACAUCUGCAGGACGACCGCCACUGUCGGAGCGUCUGGAGGCGGAGUCAGAGUGACGUGAAGAGGGCGGGACUUCCUGUGAGCGGGACGACAAGAUGCUGCUGACUUCCUGCUGCUGGCUCUGGUGUUUCCUGCUGAUCCUGACAGUUCCUCCUGCUCUCGGGGGCGAUCACACAGAGCCUUGCGGCGGUCGGGACUGCUCCACCUGUCAGUGUUUUCCCGCCAAAGGAGCGAUGGUGAGUCUCCGCCC